CACACACACACACACACACACACACUUAAAACAAUGAUGUCUCUUAUUCUAAUGCUGUGGACACUCGGUCUGCUCGCUCAAGUGUCUCAUCAAGAGGUUCAGUCUCCUGAGUCUCUGAGUGUUAAAGCAGGAGAGUCAGUCUCUAUGAGCUGCACUGGGACCAGCGGAGUUGGUGAUGACAUGAGCUGGUAUCUGCUGAAACCUGGAGAAGCUCCUAAACUCCUGAUCUAUACAGCAAGUGAACUUGAAUCUGGAGUCCCAGAUCGGUUCAGUGGAAGUGGAAAUGAACCUGAUUUUACACUGAACAUUCGUGGAGUCCAGCCUGAGGAUGCAGGAGUUUAUUUCUGUAUGGGUUAUUACAGUGGUGGAGUGUUCACACAGUGAAACAACAUCAUACAA